CACCCUUCCCUUCCCUUCCCUUCUCCCCCCACCUUUCCCCUCUUACCCCUCUCCUCCCCCGACAAAAAAUUCCGGAAUUCUUCCCAGGGCACGGAAAAAUUCCCCCGGCGUGGAAAUUUGGGGAGAAAAAGCCGGAAAAAGGAGCCGGAGGCAUCGGAGCCCCCCUGGAUCCAUUUCUGCCAUUUUUGGGAAAUCACCCACGUGGCGCUCCGGGAAUGCCGGAUCAGCAUCCACCGGCAGGACAACGGGAGCCUGGAGCUGCUGCUGCCCAGCCGCGGCAGCGCCCUGGCCCUGCUGUCGCUGCUGGACGGCUACUUCCGCCUGACGGCCGACUCCAGCCACUACCUGUGCCACGAGGUGGCCCCGCCGCGGCUGCUGCUCAGCCUCCGCCACGGCAUCCACGGGCCCAUGCGGUGAGCGCGGCUUCCGCCGGCGCCGCUCCGGGCCCUCGGGGCGCUCCCCGGGUGUUCCGAGUGCUUUGGGUUCAUCCCGGUCCGUUCCGAGUGCUUUGGGUUCAUCCCGGUCCGUUCCGUGUGGUUUGGGUUCAUCCCGGUCCGUUCCAUAUGAUUUGGGUUCAUCCCGGUCCGUUCCGAGUGCUUUGGGUUCAUCCCGGUCCGUUCUGUGUGGUUUGGGUUCAUCCCGGUCCGUUCCGUGUGGUUUGGGUUCAUCCCGGUCCGUUCCGAGUGGUUUGGGUUCAUCCUGGUCUGUUCCGAGUGGUUUGGGUUCAUCCCGGUCCGUUCCGUGUGGUUUGGGUUCAUCCCGGUCCGUUCCGAGUGCUUUGGGUUCAUCCCGGUCCGUUCCGUGUGGUUUGGGUUCAUCCNNNNNNNNNNUGGGUUCAUCCCGGUCCGUUCCGUGUGCUUUGGGUUCAUCCCGGUCCAUUCCCUCUCCUUAGGGCUGAUCCCAUCUGUUCCCUGUCCUUUGGGUUCAUCCCGGUCCGUUCCGAGUGCUUUGGGUUCAUCCCGGUCCGUUCCGAGUGCUUUGGGUUCAUCCCGGUCCCUUCCGAGUGGUUUGGGCUGAUCCCAUCCAUUCUGUGUGGUUUGGGUUCAUCCCGAUCCAUUCUGUGUGGUUUGGGCUGAUCCCAUCCAUUCCCUGUCCUUUGGGUUCAUCCCGGUCCGUUCCGAGUGCUUUGGGUUCAUCCCAAUCAAUUCCCUGUCCUUAGGGCUGAUCCCAUCCAUUCCCUGUCCUUAGGGCUGAUCCCAUCCAUUCCCUGUCCUUAGGGUUGAUCCCAUCCAUUCCGUGUCCUUUGGGUUCAUCCCAGUCCAUUCCCAUUUUUCAGGGCUGAUCCCAAUCCAUUCCCUUUGCUCCAUCCCAAUCCAUUCCCAUUUUUCAGGACUCAUCCCAAUCCAUUCCCUGUGUUUGGGGUUCAUCCCAAUCCAUUCCCUU
rnacentral:lncRNA from 1 species